UUGAGAAAGAGGGGUGGGGGCAGCACAUCUCUCCAGCCUCAGAUUAGUUCUUCCUCGGGCAGAAUUUCCCCGUGACUCUCUCUCAUCAUCAUCACCUUCUUCUUGUCUCAACUCAUCAACAUGUCAGCCAAAUGACUGUGCUGCUAAGUCCCUGAGAAAAUUGGGACCCCACACCAAGACGAUCACCUUUGAAAUGCACGCAA
ensembl:misc_RNA